ACCUGUACGGUUGCAAUCCAUAAUCUCAGUUUUAUGCAAUUUAUUGCAAUAAAACUGAGAUUAUGGAUUAGCAACCUACUCAUGAAUGAGCAAAAAGCGGCUGCGUUAGCAGACGUAAGAGUGCGUUAGCACGGUUUUUGCGAAUGGAUGAGUCGGUUGGAGGCUCUUUAGAGUAUCCAACCGUACAGGU
rnacentral:sRNA from 1 species